UACGUAGGGUGCGAGCGUUAAUCGGAAUUACUGGGCGUAAAGCGUGCGCAGGCGGUUGGGCAAGACAGAUGUGAAAUCCCCGGGCUUAACCUGGGAACUGCAUUUGUGACUGCACAGCUGGAGUGCGGCAGAGGGGGAUGGAAUUCCGCGUGUAGCAGUGAAAUGCGUAGAUAUGCGGAGGAACACCGAUGGCGAAGGCAAUCCCCUGGGCCUGCACUGACGCUCAUGCACGAAAGCGUGGGGAGCAAACAGG
rnacentral:rRNA from 1 species